rnacentral:hammerhead_ribozyme from 1 species
AUCCAGCUAACGAGUCCCAAAUAGGACGAAACGCGCGUCCUAUAU